rnacentral:misc_RNA from 1 species
CCGAGUUUACAACUCCCAAACCCCUGUGAACCAUACCAUAUCGUUGCCUCGGCGGGCUGCCCCAGUACGCAAGUGGACCAGGCGCCAGGAGGACCCAAACUCUUGCUUUCUUAUGUAUCUUCUGAGUGUUGCUAACAAGCAAAUAAAUCA